AUUCCCAGAAGCGGGGCCAGGGCAGUGCGCACAGUGAGGAGAGCAGGUGUGUGUGAGGUUGAAACAAAACGUUCAAAGCCCCCUCGGAAGCCCAUCCACAGUUGAGGAAACUGGGCCCUGAGACAUUAACUUGCCCAAAAGAUCACAGUGGGCAACAUUCUAGAGCACAGUGGAAGCCGACAGCAAUGUCAGUGAAGAUGGAAAACAGAACGUGGAGAGAGAUGUAGCUUACUAGAGCCCUGUGGCUUCAAUCCCCACCAGGAAUGUCGUUUAAGAGGAAGGUGAUCUAGCACAAAUUCACAUUUGCUUGAGGAAGAAUACAAAUAGAAGCAGCCUCGGGGAGCGGGCGGGGCUGGGGAAUCCCUGGCCUCCCUCCUUUCCUUCUGGCUGAUCUUCUGCAGAAGACCUCACAAAAGGGAGCUGAGGGGCCAGGAAGCCUGUGGAUGCCCUGAAGAAGAAUGAGUAGAUCUGAAAGGGCAGUAGAACAGAACCAGAAUCCAGUGCAAAGGCCCUGGGGCAGGAGUUCGCAGGAGAAGCGGGGAGAAGGAACCAGCCUAUGAUCCAGGAAUGCAGUGAACAAGAUUUGGGAAGUUGACAGAGAAUAUGAGGCCUCCUCUCCAAACAGAAACUCCAGGACGCUUGGUUGAGUCACUGACACAUGCACAGUGCUGAGCAUAGUACCAGACACCAGAGUCUGUGUUCCAGAAAUGGAAGAAUAGGACAUAUCACACACCAACCGUGUGCAAAGCACUCUACCUAAAGAUCAGCGCUAACAGAGGAAUAAGCAGAGGCCUCCAGGAGCAAAGAGUGAAAAGUCUCCCAAGGAUUCAAGUACGGGGGAAGUGGGUGGAGCUUUCACCGUAGAAUCUUUCCUGGAGAAAAAGCAAAGAGUGGGACAACAAUGAAGGCAUUAAAAAUAACUGUCAAGUUGAAGAAAAAGUAUUUUGCCAAAGACUAAGGAUUCGGAGAUGACUACGGAAAGGAAAACUAAGCUCCAUGAGAAGAGGGGACUUGCCCAUGUGGCUCAGGGCUCUAUGCCCAGUGCCCUAGACAGUGCCUGACUGUGUGUGCGGAAUGAAUGAAUAACCUUGGUGAUCCACCCAAUGGCACUGGCGCUCAGUGACCUCAUCUGAAAUGGAAUAAGGAUUUUAUGAAAAUGCAUGUUUGUUGAAUAACACAAAGGAGAAUAUUAUCUAAUGUGGCUUGGGGUCAAUAUCAAGCAGUAAUAUUGUUUUAGUAUUAAUUAGAGCCGUGUCAUUGCAAGAGCUGGUAAGAAUACUGGUCUUGUUUCCAACUGAUGAAAACACUCAUACAGAUUAGGGUUUUUAUGAGUAAAUUUCAGAUC
rnacentral:lncRNA from 1 species